rnacentral:lncRNA from 1 species
AAUCAUUGUUAUACGACCGCAAAUUUUGAAAAAAUUUUCGUCGUAUAUUGCUAUCACGUUGGCGUCUGCGUCGUCGUCGUCGUCGUCGUCGUCGUCGUCGUCGUCGUCGUCGUCGUCGUCCGUCGUCCGAAUACUUUUAGUUUUCGCACUCUAACUUUAGUAAAAGUGAAUAGAAAUCUAUGAAAUUUUAACACAAGGUUUAUGACCAUAAAAGGAAGGUUGGUAUUGAUUUUGGGAGUUUGGUCCCAACAUUUUAGGAAUAAGGGGCCAAAAAGGGCCCAAAUAAGCAUUUUCUUGGUUUUCGCACCAUAACUUUAGUUUAAGUUAAUAGAAAUCUAUGAAAUUUUGACACAAGGUUUAUGACCACAAAAGAAAGAUUGGGAUUGAUUUUGGGAGUUUUGGUUUCAAUAGUUUAGGAAUAAGGGGCCAAUAAAGGGCCCAAAUAAGCAUUUUUCUUGGUUUUUGCACAAUAACCUUAGGUUAAGUAAAUGGAAAUCUAUGAAAUUUAAACAAAAUGUUAAUGACCACAAAAGGAAGGUUGGUAUUUAUUUUGGGAGUUUAGGAC